AGGAGUGUAGCUCAGCAGGAGAGCACCUGCUUAGCAUGCAUGAGGCCCGGGGUUCCUUCCCCUGCACUACAA
rnacentral:tRNA from 1 species